AUGGAACCGGUGACUGUGCCUACCGACGGCGGGGACAGGCCGGGGGCCCCGGUGGGCUCGAGCUUGUCGGCCUCGCAGCGUCGGGCCGAGCUGCGGCGGAGAAAGCUGCUUAUGAACUCGGAGCAGCGCAUCAACCGGAUCAUGGGCUUUCCACAGGCCGGGAGCGCGCGGGAUGAAGAAAGUCAAGCAAAAUCAAAGCAGCAGUACAGUGACAAACUGAACUCCCUUGGUGUUCCUUCAGUUUCAAAGCGAGUAGUGCUGGGUGACUCUCUCAGUACAGGAACUGAUCAGCAGGGUGGUGUGGCUGGAAGUUAAGGGUUCCCAGCUAGGAGACAAAUUGGACUCGUCAUUAACCUGAGUGCAGUAGUGACAUCAAUUUGAGCUCCGGCAGCGGAACAGAGGGGACCUGUCAGCCGACACUGUCCAGAGGGGUUCUCACCAUGGCCUAGAACAGUACCUUUCCAGAUUUGAAGAGGCAAUGAAGCUACGGAAACAACUGAUAAGCGAAAAACCCAGCCAAGAUGAUGGAAGUACCACAGAAGAAUUUGACUCUUUUCGAAUAUUUAGACUAGUGGGAUGUGCUCUUCUUGCUCUUGGUGUCAGAGCUUUUGUUUGCAAAUAUUUG